rnacentral:lncRNA from 1 species
AUAAAAUUGAAAUCCUAUUUUAUAGAUAAGGAUGUUAGCAGUUUAGGUUUAAAUAAAAAAAAAAGUUAGUCCAGCUUCUUCAGCAGUUUAGUUUUACAUAUCUCAUCAUAUCAACCUGUUGCAGAAGAGUAAGGCUUCCAUUCUUUUAGUAGGAGUAUUAUUGAACUUAGGGAAUAGUCUGUGUCUCUUGAGUUUAAUUUUUUUUCUGAAAUAAUAUGUGUCCAAUUUUAAUACUUUUUUGUUCUCCCCAUCUAUUUAUUUAAGCAGAGAAUUUGUAAAACUUCAGAAAAUGUUCAAAUUUUUAUAUUUGAGAUUCUUUCCCUGAAGGGUGCUCAUUUGCUCAAUCUAAGCUAGAAGGUGGGAUUUUUAAAGGGAACAGUACAACCAGUUGUACCCAGGAUGCCUAACUGUACUUCUACAGAUUUGCCAUAGUUACUACUUAUAAUUUGUAGCAUUCCUAAAAUGAGUAUAAAGAGUCUUGGGAUCUGAAAGACUAUCAAGGGUAACAUUUAGAGAUAAGAGUCAUUUUUUUUAAAUACAGAUAAACUUUGUUUAUGGACUUAAUUUUGUAAAUGAAGUUACGUCCUUAUGGUAUAGUGUGUAGUAUACAAGUGUAAAAAUGGCCUUGAGUAAUCAGCAUAAGUUUUUUAGAGCUUGUAAAUACUGUGAAAAUCUGUUGAUAACAUCAGUGGGUGCUCAGUCAUCAUGUAACUAACCCUGAGACCCCCUCUCCUAAGCUGAGUGAGUUAAUAGUUACUAUUCACACAUCGUAAACAGUUUAGUAGGAUAGACGUGAAGAUGAGAAAAUGGUAAUGAUUGGAUGGGAAAUCAGUAAACACUGUAAAAA